UGUUUUUGUAGUUGAUAUACAACGGUGGUUUUUCAGGCCGCAGGACUCGUAAGAGCAGGAAUU
rnacentral:tRNA from 1 species